rnacentral:lncRNA from 1 species
CUACUAACUACCAAAUACAACUAACUAACUAUGUCAUACAACUAACUAACUAUGCAACCUAAUAGUUAGUUAGGUACGUACCUAUACAACUGCUUAACUAAAUAACUAGUUUACUAUGUAACUAACUGUACAUCUAACUACGUAAAGAAAAUUGGACAUGCAUCUAGUUAAAUAGUGUCAUGAGUAUCCUCUAAUCUUUCUAUCAUUGCAAUUCAUAAAGAUAAAUUUUCAUAUCUAACAAUUCUACCUACCUAUUCUAAUUUACGCAUCUAACUAUUUCAUCUACCAAUUCUAC